rnacentral:lncRNA from 1 species
AAAAGAGAUGCUUGCUUACAGUAUGAAGCCUCAAUAUAUAUUUCUAAGAACGUCUUUAUUUUUAAACCACAUGACCUGCUGAUUAUAUUUAAACCACAUUCUGUCAUUUAAAACCACAUGACCAGCCAAUUAUAUUUAAACCACAUUCUCUCAUGCAUGAAAGAGCAUCAAAGAAUUUCAGAUCGAUAUUCACAGGAAAAUUCCGCAUGGACACAACAAGUUGGUAUCAAUCCAGACAAUUUUCUGGUUAAAAAAUAUGUUCCUCACCAAUUCAAAAAUGUAAAGUAAAUUCAUAGAGAUAAAUUCCAGAGAAAACAAAUGUAUUUCUUCGGAUAUGUGUGUGUGUUCUAUUUUCAAUAUGUUGCCUAUAUGGUUAUCAGUGUGUGUGGUCUGUCUCUUUGUUUGGCCAUGUCAACUAUUAUCUGUGUGUGGUCUAAGUUGAUGUGGAAUUACGUUUCGUAUCAUAGAGUAUGCUGAUUCAGAUUUAACUCCAGUCCUAUUAGACAAAUUUUGGUCCUUAAAAUUAGAAACAUUUCACACUUUCUAAGUGUACUAAUUAUCGAUAUUAUCUUAUACCCUCUAAUUCAUUACACGGUUUAGUUUAUCAAGAAGCUUAUCUUCUCAAUGCCAGUGAGUUUCAUUUAAUAACAGCUAAGGGUAUUACAGGAGAAAAUAUUAGAACUAACUUCUUUGAUUGUGCUUCACUGGUUUCUGUGAUUCAGUCUUUUGGUUCUUAUAAAUAUGAUCGAAAGGAGUAUAAAAUAGCUGCCAUGCUACCAAGGUUGUCAAAAUUGGGAUUUUGCUUCAGAUCGAAAGGGGAUAGCAAGAUCGAAAAGCAUAAAAUUGCAAUCAAGAUUGAAGGAUUCUACAAAAACAAAAAUAAUACUAAAUAUAUUAAUGACUCAAAGUCUGGUCAAAAAGCUUAAAAUAAAUGAUUCAAGUUUCAAGUCCACAAAAUACUUGUAGCCUAGAUGCUACAUCACAUCACAAACACUCCAAUUAUAUGGUUCAUCCCCUAUUAAAUCAACACCUUCAUCUUCAUUAAUCUCAUCACCUCCUGCACCAUUAUCAUCAUCUCUUGCAUCCCUUACAUUAUCAAUUUCUCUCUUGAUGAUGAUGACAGAGAUGAUCAUUGACAAAGAGCUUAGGAUUUUCUAUUCGUCGUACAACUAGUAAAGUUUGUUAGAGGCAGUUGUGUGUGUGACACAAUUAAAAAAUAGUGUUUCUUUAGUUUUUUUAUAGACGCGGGUCUCGGGUCAAAACUGACUGACCCAACCCAAUUCUCCCAAAGAACCUUCAAAAUCAUUCAUAAUCCUGCAAUUUUAUGUUCUCUUGCGAUCUUACCAAAAUUUCGAUCAUUCUACAAUUUUACACACGAUCUGGAACACUGAGGGUAUGCAAAAUCGCACUAUUUUGGUCAUGAGCAAUGCAUGCUACUAUCUAUUAUCUUGCUACAUUAUUUUUGCAGCCCGCUGCUACCCCUGUUAUCUGAGAUUGAUAACAAUGUUAUCUACCGCAAAAGCAUUAUGCAUGGUGGAUAUCCAAGCAUUAAAGGAAGCAAUUUGAAUUUGAAAGUCAUUGUAAAAACUCGAGCACAAACAAAUAAUUAGAAGAUUCUUAUGUACUACGAGCUUUGUACCAGUGACACGUUUGAUCGAAGGUGUGUCCAAUCCAAUGUCUCACACCGACACAUGUGACCAAAAUCAAAUAAUUCAUUUUAUCAAAUUAGCAUCAGUGUUGGGUGAUAGUCAAUGUGCCUUGCACAUUGCAAUAAGUGCAACAAAAUGCUCAAUUAAGCAAUUUCAGCAUUAGAAAUGCACAUGAGUUCAUAAUUUCAAGUCAAACCAAACAUCAAACACAUAAUCAUCAUAAAAUUAAUAUUGUUCAUUCUAGUUAUGUAAUACUAAUUUUAUGAUGAUUAUGUACAUAAUCAUCAUAAAAUUAAUAUUGUUCAUUCUAGUUAUGUAAUACUAAUUUUAUGAUGAUUAUGUACAUAAUCAUCAUAAAAUUAAUAUUGUUCAUUCUAGUUAUGUAAUACUAAUUUUAUGAUGAUUAUGUACAUAAUCAUCAUAAAAUUAAUUCUACAUAAUCCAACCCGUUUCACUCUAAAUUCAUAAUCCCAACAAAAGAGCCACAAAAUUCACACCCAAAUCUCAAAAAAGUGAAAAAAUUCAAAAACUAGUAAAAUAAAAUAAUUGGUUUUUUUUUAUUUCAAACCUG